UUAAGCUCUUCAGCGCCGAUGGUAGUUGGGGGCUUCCCCCUGUGAGAGUAGGACGCCGCCAAGC
rnacentral:rRNA from 1 species